rnacentral:rRNA from 1 species
AUGUAUCCAACCUCGCUGCUCCCCAUCUUGUUCUCACUGUUCCUACUCCAUCAACGCACGCAUGCUGAGUGUGAACCAGUGACAUGCGGGGAACUUCCCAUCAAGUACCCAUUCUGGCUCGGCGGCCCAAGCUAUCCGUCGAAUUCCUCCUGCGGCCACCCGGCCUUCGAGUUACGGUGCACCGGCAACAGCACCUCCACAACGUGGGCCCUGUGGAAUGCGAGGAACAAAGCCCUCAUCGAAGGAAAGGUGUUCAAGCAGCCCGCCGACCUGGUUUACAAGAUGAUUAUCUUCCUGCAGCUGUGGAAGCCCCUUGGUAGGAGGCAAGACCAGGGCCGCACGGGCGCGCUCAUCGCCAGCCUUCGGGUUCAGUGCAAUCGGCUUCUUGUGGAGACUAGACGCAAUAAUACCUAA